rnacentral:lncRNA from 1 species
GGUAAGAUCAAGAAGCUCACUGGAGUCAAGGCCAAGGAGCUUCUCAUCUGGGUCAGUGUCAGUGAGAUCUAUACAGAGGAGAAAGAGAAGAUCACGUUCAAGUCACCAACCACACUGUCCAGGACUUUCCCUGUCCCAGCUUUUAUUGUCCCAGAGGAAGUGGAACCUGCCAAGGAAGAACCUGUCAAGGAGAAGAGCAGUGAAGCCGCCGAGGUUACGGAGGCUGUUGCAGUCAAGGAGGCCUAAUCAAGCCGAGAGUUAGUAGUGUUUCUCACUGCUCUUACGCUCAUGUAUUACCUACCACUCGUUUCUGCUUCUUUUACUACCUGUAAUAAGAUGUCACCAACAUCCUCCUGUUAUACAAAAAAAUACCGAAAUUAUCUAUAAACUACAUUAAAGCUGGUUAUGUAUGUGACUUCAAGAACACUGGAAACAUAUUAGCAAGCCAAAGUGAAAGCUACAUCGAGAUCUUUUCAAAAUGUUUUACAACCUCAAAAAGUUUCCCUCACGUGUUAAAUCGUGUGCAUACCCACUUACAUGGCGUACUGCUUAUUCUUUACUAUGUAUAGCAACAUCGUUCAUAUGCACUGGCUAUAGUUACUUACCCGCUGCUCGAUAAGAAGUUACAGCGUAGCUUCACUCUAUAUUUCAAUUACAUUGAUUGAGGUUUUGAAUCAUUUUCUUUCAAGUAAUUGCUCAACUGAAAUAUUGAUCGAGGUUUUGAAUCAUUUUCUUUCACGUAGUUGCUCAACUGAAUUCAUCAGACGAGGAUCUUGAAGAUGAAGGUUGCAUCGAAAUCAUAAAGAAACGUAAAUUUUCUGAAGCUAAACAUACGCCAUAGGAGAUACAAAAAUGUUAUAUAGGGUAAAAUCGAAAAUGUCAAAUACAUGUAAAAGAGAAUAUAAUAAACCUCUUUCUUAAUCCCUUGCAAAAUAUUAUAUUGGUAAAACGAAUCAGUAAAAAAAACAUGGUGUGGCUUAUGGCAAAUCUUCUUUAUACACUGCCUUUUGCUCACUAAAACAUGUUCUUCUUUUCAGACAAGGGUAAAGGCAGAUUGUACCGUGGACUGGAACCGUGAUGCGAUUGUCUGUGAGGCAAACUGCUGAAACUGUUUCUUUGCAUCUGCCAACAAAUAAAAAGUGUUAAGUCUAAUGAUCUAUAGCCCAUUUGACUAUUAUAAGGGCUAUACUGGAAUGGAUCUUACCUUUCUUGCACUUUGUGAAGCCGAUGAUAUUAGCCGCGUUAAGGGACAAGCAAACGCCGACAACAAGCAGAUAGUCGGCCUGAAACCUUAUCAGUGAAAAUAUCCCAAGGACUAACCACGCAGCUGCCUGAAGAUAGGACAAACAAAAAACAAGAUUCAGCUGCGGUAAAAGACAGCAUAAUGUUUUCACAAGUUUGUAAUUGCUGACGCUAGAACACUAAACCCAUUGCUACCACCAUCUCAAGGCUCAUUCUUACUCUCUAUAGGUCGCCUUGUAAUGCAACUGAGCCUAUAGGGUUUUAAGCUACCAACUAUUAGUCAAUCUGAUAAUGCAGGAUCAUAGGAUAUACUAAUGCAAUUUCAACAUGCACAAUAACAGUGGUCAACUUUUAGUCCCCCAGAUUACUUCUCCCUAAUCUCCCUAUUUUGCAAUGUGUAUGCGGGUGAUUGACUCAAAUGUCAAUUGCCACUAACUCAGAAGGAGAAUCGUUUGUCACAAACUCAUAGAUAAAAACUCAUUUAAACGUUAGCUUGUUGGUGGGAUGAGAGAAGUCAGCGAUCUAUAUAUGGUUAGUGUGGGAUACUAAAAGACAGCUUCGAAAUUCGUCUCACCGUUUGCAAAACAUUUGCUUCAUCAUUAGGGUCAUGUUCAUUCUUUCCUAUUCUUACUUCUACUCCUCCACUAAAGUUCCGGUGAGUGAAAAGUGACAAGCUCAUAGGCAAGUAAGCAUAGAUAGGAACAACUAGUUGAAACAUUUGGGGUCGUGUUCAUUAUUGCCCGUUCUUACUACUAAUCCUAAUGCUCCACAAAAGUUUCAGGUGCAUUGCAAACAGGUUUAAGCGAUAAGCUACAAACUGUAGUCAAAGAUAGGAACUACUCACUGCAAGGUAAAGCGUCCACCAGAAAAGCCAGGAGUCUUUCUUGUUCAUCCGAGCCAAGGACUGAUACACAGACAAACGAAAUAAAUGAGGUAAAAACUAGUAAGAAUUUUUUGCUUAAUGAAUAAAGUAAAAAGUAAAAGCAUUAAGCAAAAAAGAGAGGGCUAACCUCCUGGUCAAGAGACUCAAACUUCCAGACACUUUCACCCAAGUCAUUGAUCUCGUUCCACCACCUGAGACCAACAAGUAUACGCCCACUCACAUUCUUAACCACCCAGAAGUCAAGUGCCGCGAGAAGAACAGUCACCACAAAGAUAAUAACAAAGCUGUUGAAGAAGAGAGCCGAGAGAAUGUAAAACGCCAACGCAGCACCCUGCCCCCAAAAACAAACUUGUUACCAUUCUCCACCUCACUUAUAAAAAAAAGUCUAAAAAGACUCAUACUCAGGCUCAUCAUACCUUGAAGAGAACAUGGAAGAGACACGUCUUCGGAUUCGCAUAGUUUUCAACUGGUGGCUGCAUUGAAUUAACAACGAGAAUAAUCACAUCUGAGUCUAAUUAAACCGAUUCUUAACAUAGCAUUUCUAUCUAGCUCAAGCCUUCCAAAUUCUAAUGUCUACACACACAUUCUCCUCCGAGACGAAUUCGAAGAGCACAGAUCUAACACAAUCACGUCCAGAUCGAGCAGCUAAUCGAGCUUAAUCAAGAAUCGGAUAAGCAAUCUAGCUCAGAAAUUAAUCAUUCACCUGGUUAGGAUCCAUCUUUCGAAGUAUCCGAAUGUAUCAACCCCGACGCCGAUCAGAAGAUGGAAUCCUAAUACUGAUCUUCCCUCCGAGAAAAUUAUCUUCGUUCGGUACCAGCAGAUCUUCAAACUCUUGCGCGUGUUUUCUUAGCGUUUUAAUUCUAAUCUAUAGGCCCAAGUGAGUGUCCUUUAUAGCCCAUUAGGCCCAAUAUAAAAGGUUGGGUUAAGAAUCUAGUACAAAUAUCAAUGCCUUAACACACACGUAACAAGAUUUCACUAAUGUCAAACCCUAAAAGAGACCUAACAUAGUUUGUUUUUCUUUCUUGCUUCACCAUCUGGCUGAAAAUCUAGUAUAGAUAUAGGUUCCUUAGUACGCACAUAAAGAUCUAACACUUUCAAACCCUAAAAAACAGAAUCUAGUACAAACUGUCUUUUCACCUACAUUUUUGGCUACAAUAUCUCGUUUUCAGGUUACAUUGUUCACAACAAUAAUUGUUGUGUGUUGAUGAUUGCCAUAGUCACCCAUAACCUGCUCAACCAUGCCCAUUAAUGCAUUUUACAUGCACCGUAUACCACACAACCUAUAUAUAACAAGGUUAAGUCGCCUCUUAUCACAACACACAACUUCAGCUUUGAGGUAAAGCUUAAACUAAAAAAACAGAGCAGAGAUGGGUUUGGUCACACAGGAGGUGAGAGCUAAGGCAGAGAAGUACACCGGAGAUGAGAUAUGCCGAGAGAAGACAAAAGUCUUCCUCAAGGAAAUAUCUAUGCCUAAUGGUUUACUACCGUUGAAGGACAUUGAAGAGGUAGAACUGGAGAAUCUUAUGUAACUUGAUUUGUCUGUACAGUCUUAUAUUAUGGGUCAAAAAAUUUAAUUACAUGUUUGGUUGCGUUCCUCACGUUAUUCAAGCAUGAUGUUUGAUAUUUAUAUGUUCCAGGUUAAGCCUGCCCUGCCAGUUCUUCGGCAACUUAUCUAUCUAAAUGAUGAAGAAGUUCUCACAGAUGCCUGCUGGGCUCUAUCUUACCUUUCAGAUGGCCCCAAUGAUAAGAUCCAAGCUGUGAUCCAGGCUGGUGUUUGUCCACUACUUGUGGAGCUUCUGAGGUUAGCUCAAUUUUGCUAUAUUAUUGCUAUAUUAGCUGGUCUUGUAGUUUUGUUCUUCAGAUUCUUAUCCCCCAACAAUGGUGUUUGACAUUUUCAAAUUUGUGAUGUUUUUAAUACCUCUUAGAAAUUGAGUGUUAGUGUACUGACUAAUAUAUAUAUAUAUAUAUAUAUUUCUUCAAGUCAUCCAUCACCUACGGUUCUCAUUCCUGCGCUUCGAACUGUUGGGAACAUUGUAACUGGUGAUGACUCUCAGACACUGGUAUGAUCUGUGAAGAAUGUUUCUAUAUAAUGUUUGAUUGUUUUGUUUAACAUUUUGACAGCAGCUGUGUUUUUGCUUUUCAGUUUAUAAUUGAUAGUGGAGCUUCUGAGGUUAGUUCCUUUCCGAGGAUGGACUUGUAACAAAAAAUGGUGGUUAAGAAGGUAGUUAAGGAGAUUUACCAACCAGUUUUAUAAGGAUUGUUAGCUACGCUCAAAUGUUUAGAGUAUAUAUAUAUGGUGCAUCUCUCUUUUAAGUUUCAUAUCUGAAAACCAUUUUCAAACAAAGAAUGAGUACUCCUCUCACAUCUUCCUAAGUUUAAAGGUUAUAACAGUUGAGCUGUUACUUCGAAACAAUAUAUUUGAGAUGUCAUGCAUAAUGAUAAAACUUGAAAUAAUAAUAAGAUUUGAUUUGAUUUGAUUGGACCAAGUUUAUAGUGAAACAGUACCAAGGCAUCAAGUUUCAAGAUAGUAAGGUGACAAAUCACAAUCAGUAAGUUAGACGUUGGAACUCUUGUAAUUAUGUGAACUACAAUGUUUACUUGAAUUCUAAAGAUAUUAUUCAAUUCGAUUUAUACCAAAAAUAAUUGAGGACACAACGGUUACUGGUUAGCUGUUGAAGAAAAGGUGAGUUGAUAGGCCCUGCAUUUACACGCAGAGGGCCAUGCAUGCACCAUCUAUCAUAUAACAAGUAACAACAAUAAUUGCUAUCACUAUUGUCUGAUGAUGAUUACUAUAGUCACCCAUAGACCUGCCCAACCAUGUCCAUUAAUGCUUUCUCCAUGUACCGCAUACCACACAACCUAUAUAUAACAAGGUUAAGUCGCCUCUUACCACAACACACAACUUCAGCUUUGAGGUAAAGCGUAAACUUUAAAAGAAAAACAGAACAGAGAUGGGUUUGGUCACAGAGGAGGUGAGAGCUAAGGCAGAGAAGUACACCGGAGAUGAGAUAUGCCGAGAGAAAACAAAAGUCUUCCUCAAGGAAAUAUCUAUGCCCAAUGGCUUACUACCGUUGAAGGACAUUGAAGAGGUUGGGUACGACAGAGAGUCAGGUGUUGUGUGGCUGAAGCAGAAACAGAGCAUCACCCACAAGUUCGAAACGAUCGAUAAGCUUGUCUCCUACGGAACCGAGGUCACUGCCGUUGUCCAGACGGGUAAGAUCAAGAAGCUCACUGGAGUCAAGGCCAAGGAGCUUCUCAUCUGGGUCAGUGUCAGUGAGAUCUAUACAGAGGAGAAAGAGAAGAUCACGUUCAAGUCACCAACCACACUGUCCAGGACUUUCCCUGUCCCAGCUUUUAUUGUCCCAGAGGAAGUGGAACCUGCCAAGGAAGAACCUGUCAAGGAGAAGAGCAGUGAAGCCGCCGAGGUUACGGAGGCUGUUGCAGUCAAGGAGGCCUAAUCAAGCCGAGAGUUAGUAGUGUUUCUCACUGCUCUUACGCUCAUGUAUUACCUACCACUCGUUUCUGCUUCUUUUACUACCUGUAAUAAGAUGUCACCAACAUCCUCCUGUUAUACAAAAAAAUACCGAAAUUAUCUAUAAACUACAUUAAAGCUGGUUAUGUAUGUGACUUCAAGAACACUGGAAACAUAUUAGCAAGCCAAAGUGAAAGCUACAUCGAGAUCUUUUCAAAAUGUUUUACAACCUCAAAAAGUUUCCCUCACGUGUUAAAUCGUGUGCAUACCCACUUACAUGGCGUACUGCUUAUUCUUUACUAUGUAUAGCAACAUCGUUCAUAUGCACUGGCUAUAGUUACUUACCCGCUGCUCGAUAAGAAGUUACAGCGUAGCUUCACUCUAUAUUUCAAUUACAUUGAUUGAGGUUUUGAAUCAUUUUCUUUCAAGUAAUUGCUCAACUGAAAUAUUGAUCGAGGUUUUGAAUCAUUUUCUUUCACGUAGUUGCUCAACUGAAUUCAUCAGACGAGGAUCUUGAAGAUGAAGGUUGCAUCGAAAUCAUAAAGAAACGUAAAUUUUCUGAAGCUAAACAUACGCCAUAGGAGAUACAAAAAUGUUAUAUAGGGUAAAAUCGAAAAUGUCAAAUACAUGUAAAAGAGAAUAUAAUAAACCUCUUUCUUAAUCCCUUGCAAAAUAUUAUAUUGGUAAAACGAAUCAGUAAAAAAAACAUGGUGUGGCUUAUGGCAAAUCUUCUUUAUACACUGCCUUUUGCUCACUAAAACAUGUUCUUCUUUUCAGACAAGGGUAAAGGCAGAUUGUACCGUGGACUGGAACCGUGAUGCGAUUGUCUGUGAGGCAAACUGCUGAAACUGUUUCUUUGCAUCUGCCAACAAAUAAAAAGUGUUAAGUCUAAUGAUCUAUAGCCCAUUUGACUAUUAUAAGGGCUAUACUGGAAUGGAUCUUACCUUUCUUGCACUUUGUGAAGCCGAUGAUAUUAGCCGCGUUAAGGGACAAGCAAACGCCGACAACAAGCAGAUAGUCGGCCUGAAACCUUAUCAGUGAAAAUAUCCCAAGGACUAACCACGCAGCUGCCUGAAGAUAGGACAAACAAAAAACAAGAUUCAGCUGCGGUAAAAGACAGCAUAAUGUUUUCACAAGUUUGUAAUUGCUGACGCUAGAACACUAAACCCAUUGCUACCACCAUCUCAAGGCUCAUUCUUACUCUCUAUAGGUCGCCUUGUAAUGCAACUGAGCCUAUAGGGUUUUAAGCUACCAACUAUUAGUCAAUCUGAUAAUGCAGGAUCAUAGGAUAUACUAAUGCAAUUUCAACAUGCACAAUAACAGUGGUCAACUUUUAGUCCCCCAGAUUACUUCUCCCUAAUCUCCCUAUUUUGCAAUGUGUAUGCGGGUGAUUGACUCAAAUGUCAAUUGCCACUAACUCAGAAGGAGAAUCGUUUGUCACAAACUCAUAGAUAAAAACUCAUUUAAACGUUAGCUUGUUGGUGGGAUGAGAGAAGUCAGCGAUCUAUAUAUGGUUAGUGUGGGAUACUAAAAGACAGCUUCGAAAUUCGUCUCACCGUUUGCAAAACAUUUGCUUCAUCAUUAGGGUCAUGUUCAUUCUUUCCUAUUCUUACUUCUACUCCUCCACUAAAGUUCCGGUGAGUGAAAAGUGACAAGCUCAUAGGCAAGUAAGCAUAGAUAGGAACAACUAGUUGAAACAUUUGGGGUCGUGUUCAUUAUUGCCCGUUCUUACUACUAAUCCUAAUGCUCCACAAAAGUUUCAGGUGCAUUGCAAACAGGUUUAAGCGAUAAGCUACAAACUGUAGUCAAAGAUAGGAACUACUCACUGCAAGGUAAAGCGUCCACCAGAAAAGCCAGGAGUCUUUCUUGUUCAUCCGAGCCAAGGACUGAUACACAGACAAACGAAAUAAAUGAGGUAAAAACUAGUAAGAAUUUUUUGCUUAAUGAAUAAAGUAAAAAGUAAAAGCAUUAAGCAAAAAAGAGAGGGCUAACCUCCUGGUCAAGAGACUCAAACUUCCAGACACUUUCACCCAAGGCAUUGAUCUCGUUCCACCACCUGAGACCAACAAGUAUACGCCCACUCACAUUCUUAACCACCCAGAAGUCAAGUGCCGCGAGAAGAACAGUCACCACAAAGAUAAUAACAAAGCUGUUGAAGAAGAGAGCCGAGAGAAUGUAAAACGCCAACGCAGCACCCUGCCCCCAAAAACAAACUUGUUACCAUUCUCCACCUCACUUAUAAAAAAAAGUCUAAAAAGACUCAUACUCAGGCUCAUCAUACCUUGAAGAGAACAUGGAAGAGACACGUCUUCGGAUUCGCAUAGUUUUCAACUGGUGGCUGCAUUGAAUUAACAACGAGAAUAAUCACAUCUGAGUCUAAUUAAACCGAUUCUUAACAUAGCAUUUCUAUCUAGCUCAAGCCUUCCAAAUUCUAAUGUCUACACACACAUUCUCCUCCGAGACGAAUUCGAAGAGCACAGAUCUAACACAAUCACGUCCAGAUCGAGCAGCUAAUCGAGCUUAAUCAAGAAUCGGAUAAGCAAUCUAGCUCAGAAAUUAAUCAUUCACCUGGUUAGGAUCCAUCUUUCGAAGUAUCCGAAUGUAUCAACCCCGACGCCGAUCAGAAGAUGGAAUCCUAAUACUGAUCUUCCCUCCGAGAAAAUUAUCUUCGUUCGGUACCAGCAGAUCUUCAAACUCUUGCGCGUGUUUUCUUAGCGUUUUAAUUCUAAUCUAUAGGCCCAAGUGAGUGUCCUUUAUAGCCCAUUAGGCCCAAUAUAAAAGGUUGGGUUAAGAAUCUAGUACAAAUAUCAAUGCCUUAACACACACGUAACAAGAUUUCACUAAUGUCAAACCCUAAAAGAGACCUAACAUAGUUUGUUUUUCUUUCUUGCUUCACCAUCUGGCUGAAAAUCUAGUAUAGAUAUAGGUUCCUUAGUACGCACAUAAAGAUCUAACACUUUCAAACCCUAAAAAACAGAAUCUAGUACAAACUGUCUUUUCACCUACAUUUUUGGCUACAAUAUCUCGUUUUCAGGUUACAUUGUUCACAACAAUAAUUGUUGUGUGUUGAUGAUUGCCAUAGUCACCCAUAACCUGCUCAACCAUGCCCAUUAAUGCAUUUUACAUGCACCGUAUACCACACAACCUAUAUAUAACAAGGUUAAGUCGCCUCUUAUCACAACACACAACUUCAGCUUUGAGGUAAAGCUUAAACUAAAAAAACAGAGCAGAGAUGGGUUUGGUCACACAGGAGGUGAGAGCUAAGGCAGAGAAGUACACCGGAGAUGAGAUAUGCCGAGAGAAGACAAAAGUCUUCCUCAAGGAAAUAUCUAUGCCUAAUGGUUUACUACCGUUGAAGGACAUUGAAGAGGUAGAACUGGAGAAUCUUAUGUAACUUGAUUUGUCUGUACAGUCUUAUAUUAUGGGUCAAAAAAUUUAAUUACAUGUUUGGUUGCGUUCCUCACGUUAUUCAAGCAUGAUGUUUGAUAUUUAUAUGUUCCAGGUUAAGCCUGCCCUGCCAGUUCUUCGGCAACUUAUCUAUCUAAAUGAUGAAGAAGUUCUCACAGAUGCCUGCUGGGCUCUAUCUUACCUUUCAGAUGGCCCCAAUGAUAAGAUCCAAGCUGUGAUCCAGGCUGGUGUUUGUCCACUACUUGUGGAGCUUCUGAGGUUAGCUCAAUUUUGCUAUAUUAUUGCUAUAUUAGCUGGUCUUGUAGUUUUGUUCUUCAGAUUCUUAUCCCCCAACAAUGGUGUUUGACAUUUUCAAAUUUGUGAUGUUUUUAAUACCUCUUAGAAAUUGCGGAAGAGGGCUGCGGACAAGAAGAAAAAGGACAAGAAAUUCAAUGCUGCUGUGAAAGAAUGCAAGAAGAACACACUGUAUGAGAAAACUCUGCGUAUGCUCGGGAUCAAAAAGUAGUAGUUUGAUGUUUGAACAUGUAAUGGGAUGCAUCUUGCAUCCUUCUCAAUAAAUUGUUGUCGUGUCUAAUAAAUUUGAUCCUUUUAUCUCAUAUUGGAUUUCAUUUUAUUUUAUUUCUUACAUAAUCAUUAGUAAUUUUUAAUGCAUAUCGUAAGAAUCAAAAUGAGACUAAAAUCAAUCUAUAGUUUCGGUCAAGAAAAUAUAAAUUCAUAUGGGGGAGAUGUCAAAAGAGAUGGACCCUUCUAUAUUCGAUCUCUAACCAAGAAAAUUAAAUUGAUCUUCAAUUAUUUAAAUCAUAGUUAUAUUAAAAUGAGAGAAAAUUUUAAAAUCCAGAAAGAAAAGGAGAUCACGAUUCUAUUAUAUUCCCUCUGUUUCUCCAUUUCUGCUCCUCUAAUUUCCCCUUUUUUUUUUCCUAUUAUCCAAAGAAUCUCUCCCAUCUUCACCUAAAUCCCCAUUUUUUCUCCAUUAAUGGAAUGGACGACUUUGAAGUUGGAGAUCCUGAGAAUGUACAACAAUGAUGACGACGAAGGAAAAGAUCUCUCCGAUCUAAGAAAUCCGUUGCGAAGAAGGUCAUCAAUCGGAGAAGACGAUCUUGAAAUGCUCGAUUUUGGUUCCCGUUCCUCGAGGUGAUCAUCGUCUUCGCUCUUCCACUUUACUGAAUCUAUUGAAUGCUUUCGCUUCUUAUUCGGUCAAUGUGCUUUUUGUUACUUCUGAGAUAGCAAUUGUUUUAGCUGAUUCUAUGAGCUAAGCUAACCCGUUGUUUAGUUGUUGAAAGUUAGUUUUAAAAAAAAAAAAAUCUGAUCGGUUGUAAACAGUGUAAUCCACACUAGUUCAAAAGUUUCAUCAAAUAUGUAUUUAUUUAUCAUAGAUAUUUAUUGUUUAAGUAAGAAAGAAAUCAGUUUCUUAAACUAUAUCAGUUAUACAUGUAACAAUUAAUAUCUUGUAAUCUAAAAUGAAAACUGCAACUAAUGAUUAUUUUUGAUAUGUAUUUUAUAUACAAUAUGGAUAUAAAAUAAAAAGUUACAAUAUUGUAUUUAUCACAAAUUUUGGAAACUAUCAAAUAAGGAGGUGUUAUUGAAUAGAGAAUUAGAAUUACACAAUGGAAUUAGAGUUUUAUCGUACUUCAGUGGAAUUUGAUGAUUCCACUAAAAUGCAAGGGGAUUUAGUGGGUAUUUUUAAUAACUGUUAUGGAACUUUUUGUUUCUAAAAUUAGUCGGUAUUUUUAAUUUGCUAGGUAGUUAAGAUGUGAUGAACUUUUACGAAAAUAAAAAAAACUGGUUUUAAUCACCUUAUAUUAUCAAACUUUUACAAAUAUAUUAGAUUUUUUAAACCAUAUAACAUAUAUAUAUAUAUAUAUAUAUUUAAAACAUUUCUACAUUUGAAUAAAACAAUAAUUUUUCAGUAUCAAGAAAAUUCAAUUAACGAUUAUUUGUUGUUAUGUAUUUUUAUAUAAGAAUAUUAAUAUAAUAUAAAGAUAAUAUAUUAUAUUUUUUUGUGAACUUUCAAAUUAAAUUUAUAGGAUACUCUACUUAAAUUUAUAUUAACAGGAUUAUAAAUAAUAUUUUCAUCAUUUAAGUUACUUAAAAUAUAAAUUUUUAUGUAAUUUUUCAACUAUAAAUAUACUCUCUUUUUCCAAUGGAAAAUAAUUAUAUGAUUUUUUAGUUUUCUUAAAACACCAGAUUUGUUCCAAUUGAAAAAUCGUGAAAACAUUUCAUUGAAUCCUUCAAAAAGAACAAAAUAUCUCACACGUCUUAAAAAAAGUCAAAAUGCAAGUUAAAUAUUUCAUUAAUAUGAUUAGCAUAUAACUUUCGGUAAAAUAUCUUUGGAGCUAAUAACAUAAAAUGAACUGCUAAUGUAUACUCAACAUAAUUAAAAUUCAAAAUCAUUUUUUUUUUCAAAUAGAGAUGGUUUACCAUUUUUAUAAACUUAAAUAAUUGAUUUACUCAAUUCUGUAAAAAAAACAUAACCAUUGUUGAGUUAUUUUUUUUUUGGAAUUUGUAAAGAAGUAUAAAUUGUGUUUGAAUGUUGUUCGGAUCCUAGUAUUAUUUUAUAAGACAAUUAGUUUGAUUUGUAUUAUAUUACUAAUUUAUUAUAAAUUAUAUAAAUGGAAAAUCAGAAAUUUUUAUUUGGGUAGAGUAAGUAACUGUUCUAUAUUUUAAAGUAAAAUUAAUUUGCGUAACAUAUUAUCUCUUACAAUAAAACUAUUAUGGUGAAUCCAUUAUUUUUAAUAUGUAUAAACUUAAAAACUGAAAACAAAUUUAUAUUUAAACCAACACUUUCUAAUACAUUAUCAAAUCACACAUAUUAACAACAGUUAUAAAAUAUAAUUCACAUUAGCAUAAUAAAUUCUACUAUAUAUAUUAUUAUAUUACAUGCCAUAAAAUUAAAAUAAACAUAGGGACAAUUUAUUGUGAAAAUUCAAAAAAGAAAUAAAUUAAACAACUUUUUGGAAUUAUAUUCUUUUACAAACAUAUAUUUUAUUUUAUAUAAUAUUAGUAAUUUAUUACAAAAAAAAUUAUAUUUAUAGAAAUUUAUUUCAAAAUCAGAUAUUUUUACUAUUUACAGUAAAUAGCUAGCUAUUGUAUGAUUUUUAUAAAAAUAUAUAUUUGGUGAUGAAAUAUAUAUAAGUAAUUAUUAUAAUUUCUUUUCUCUUAAUAUUAAUAAAUUUUUGAAUUAAUUGAUUUAAAAAAAAACAGAUUUUUUUCCUAUUCAAGAUAGUACUAUAUAUCUUUUAACAUAAAUAUAUUUUAGUUCACAGUUUAAUUUUAUUUGAUACCUAUUAGUUUUUGCUACAUGCAAAAGAUAAUUAUCUUAAUUUGAAAAAAAAAUAAUUAUCUUAGUGCCAAAUGUAUCAAUUCUAUUAAUAUUUCUUUCUUUUUCAUGGCCUAUAUUUCUUUCUUAUUUAUGUAGGAACUAGUUGGAUUUUGUAUUCAUUGGGUAAUGCAAAUCAUUAUAUAACCCCUUUAUAUAGGCUAGAUAAGCUAGGCCAAACCUAUUAUUUUGGUCAUAACGAUUUUGUUGUGUUGCUUGUCACUUCGAAUCCUUAAUCCUUGGGUUUUCCUCGUGAAGAUGUUGGAAGCCAAAAUUGAAGAGAUAAACUGUGAAGACAGGAUCAGUGCUUUGCCCGAAGAGUUGCUUGUGACGAUUUUGUUGCUUGUCCUGAUUAAAGAUGCAGUAGCCACCGUGAUUUUGUCCAAAAGGUGGCGCAAUAUAUGGAUGAUGUUGCCUAGACUUGAUUACAAUGAAACCAAUGAUGUCAACCAUGCUCGUGAUUGGGGUGGUGAUGAUAAUGAUGAUGGUGAUGAUGAUCUUGAAAGCAAGAGCAUUUGGUGGUUUUUGGACAAGUCACUGAAACUUCACAAAGAACCUGUCUUAGAAAUAUUGCUUAUUAGUCUUGGUCGACGAUGUCCUAGUGAUGCUAAUGUCGGAAAUUGGGUUGAAAAGGCUGUUGAUUGCGGUGUGGUCGUGGUAAAGUUCAAGCUUCGCUGGUCCGCAGGUCCAACCACAUUGCCUAAGAGCCUUUACACCUGCGAAACACUGAAAGAAUUGACUCUAUCUAACAAGGUUCUUGUGGAUUUCCCUUCUUCUUCUUCCCCUUCGUGCCUUCCAUCACUUGAAAUACUUCAACUUUCCUGUGUGGUAUAUAAAGACGAGGAAUCUUUCGCUAGGUUCUUAUCUAGUUGCCCUGUCCUUGGAACAUUGAUCGUGGAAAGAAAGAAGAGUGACAAUUUGACAAACUUUAUUGUGAAAGUGCCUACUUUAUGGAUGUUAUGGUAUUAUAAUACAACAUGGCUGGUAAAUGACACUGAUGUAGUGGAUAGCGGUAGUUGUUUGGUUAUAGAUACUCUGGCAUUAAUAAAGUUUGACGUCACUGAUUAUUCAAGACACUCUUGAUCGAUCGGGAAUAUGCCUUGUCUUGAGGAGGCAUAUAUUAGUGUCGACUGUUUAUCUCUUUUUGACAAGAUCAUAACAGCUUCUUCGGCGAUCUUGUCUCUUGUCUUGACUUUCGAAGAUGAAAUGGUAGCUCAGUUUAUCUAUAUAUAUUGAUUGCUUGUUUGUGAUUUACAUUGUUGCAUCUACUUAUACGUUGUUGUUUGUUUUGUCACAGCUUGUGCGUUGUAGCACCCUAAGAUUUUUUCGACUUUUUAGGUUAUCUGUAGAUCCAAGUAGAUCAAACUGCGUGGAACCACUCUUACUUUUACUUGGAAAUACUCCGAAACUUGAAGAACAGGUAGUUAAUAAUGUACGUACCCUCCUUUUCUUCAAGCUUUGGUAAGUAGUUAAUAAUGUGCGUAACCUUUUUUUUAACAUACGGCCAUGAACCAUUGCUUCACAGGAAUUUGCCUCUGAACCCGAGGAUAUCCCACUUUCAUGGAGCAACCAAGUUCUAUUCCUGGAUGCUUGUCGUCACAUCUAAAAAUAUUUGAAUGGAGAUACUAUGGACACAGAGAAGAAGAGGAAGAAUUCUUGACAUACAUCCUAGCCAAUUCUAAGUGUUUAAAGACUGCGACAAUCUCCCUCAAACCCAUGUUAGAUCCUGAAUGAGAGGAAGAUUUUAUCAUCGGAAAAUUGAAAGAUAUUCCUAGGGUUUCAACAUCAUCUCAACUUUUGGUCAAUUGAAAAUUUAAUUCGAAUUAUCAUAUCCUCUGUAUAUUAAUUGAGAAUCAUUUAAAAAAUUUCAACUUUAAAUUUGUAAUAAUUAAACAAAAACAUUGUUUAACUGUCAUUUAAUUAUGAUGUCAAUUUGGCUUACAUACCAUUAUUAGAAUCAAUUGAAUAAUUAGUAAGUUUAAAAUCCAAUUGGUAAGAAAAUUUAUAUAAACCAAAACAUAAAUAUAUAUGAUAAAUUUAAUACUUGGAGAUCUCAUUAACUUAAUGUCAAAAAAGAUAAAAUUGUUUGCGACAUAUAGUUAUGGUCGCCUAAAAAACAUACGGUUUGCCCCAAAAGUAUGCUUAUAUAAUAUUGUCUUUUAUGAUUCACAGCAACCUUUUUCAUUUUCGAUUUAAUAAAGUGCAAACAAUUUUAUUGUAAUCAUUUGUUAUCGUUAACAAAACGAACGCAUUCCCACAUAUGAUUCUUCCCACUGAUUUUUUUAUAAUGAGUUAUUUUUACAAUGAGUACGGUUCUUCAAUGAAGGUUUUUCACCAUUAUGUAUACCAAGUUGUCUCAAAUAAUUUCAGAGUAAUGUUUUGCUCAAAACUCAAAAAAUACCAACAGAUGUUAUAGGUUCAUUAACAGUCAAAAUUAUCUUCACGAUAUCAGAGACGAUAUGAUGUGUUAUAGGUUCUAGAUUUCAGAGACAAUGUGGUAUAAGUUCUUUAGCGGUCAUUUUUUUCUGUAAGCAAAUCAUAGAACGACUUAGAAGUGAGGUGUUUUAUUCAAUAGUAACUUUUCUAAUUUGUGUAAAAACCUUUAAUUGAUAGGUGGGGAAGUCGUUGGAAUCGAUUCCCACCCACAACAUACUGAUUCCAUACCUGAAACUCAGUGAUCAAAUUAUUUGUUAAAAUUAAGAAAUCUAACUAUUAAUAAUCCUUAACAAAUUCUAUUAUAUUUUUACAUUAAAUAUCACUAAAAUAAACAUAAACAUAUACAUAGACAACUUAUGGUGCAAAAUCUAAAGAUAAAUAAAUUAUAUAUUUUUUUGGAAAUAUCUUUCCAUUAAAAUAUAAUUUUAAUCUAUAAUAUUUUUGACUAUCAAAAAGUUAUAAUGGUUCAAUUAAAUUAACCUCAUUAAUAAUACACGUUCAAAAAUAUGAAUAAUAGGCUAUGAAGAAUUAUGUUUUAAUAGCCUAAAAAAUAAUAAUAUUUAUAUAUUAAAACAAACAUAUUAUAGAAAUAUACAUUUUAAAUUUGAACAUCUCUUUAAGUUAAUAUCUUAUAUAAUUAUCAGUUUUUAUAACAAAGAAAUCAGAUUUACUAAACCAUAUCAGAUAUACAUAUAUAAUCACAUAUACUUAAAUAUUUAAAACAUUUCCAUUUCACUAAAAUAAUAAUAAUACCUAUAUAUCAAGAAAUCAGAUUUUAUAAAUAUAUAUUAAUUCAAAUAUGUAUUUAUUUAUCAUAGAUUUUUAUUAUUUAUGUUAGAAAGAAAUCAGAUUUCUUAAACUAUAUCAAUUUACUUGUAACAAUGAAUAUCUUGUAAUCUUAAAUGUAAACUGCAGUUAAUAAUUCUUUUUAUAAUGAAUUUUAUAUAAAAUAUGGAUAUAAAAUAAAAAAAUAUAGUAUAUAUUUAUCUCAAAUUUUGUAAACUACCAAACUACGUUUAAUAGAUUAUUCUACACAAAUUUAUAUCAGCAAGAUUAUAAAUAAUUUUAUCAUCAUUUAAUUUAAGUAAAAAUACAAACUUUAGUGUAAUCUCUAACUAUAAAUAUUAUUUUUAUUAUUUCAGUUGUAAACCAAAAUUUUGAAUGUUCUUAAAAUACUAUAUUCAUUCCAAUUUAAAAAAUAUAAUAACAACUUUUAGCAAGUCUUUCAAAACAAAUUAUCUCAUACAUCUAAAAUAAAUCCAAAAAAUGCAAAUUAAAUAUUUUAUUCAUAUAACUAAUAUAUAAAUGUCGAUAAAAAACACCGGAACUAAUAUUUAUAUAUAUCAAAACACACAAUUUUUUAAAAUAUAAAAUUUUAAAUUCAGAUAUAUAUUUAUAUAAAUAUCUUAUAUAAUUAUAAACUUUAUAACAAAGAUAUCAGAAUUCCUAAACCAUAUAUAUAUAUAUAUAUUAAAAUAUUUUAAAUUUCUCCAUUUCAAUAAAAUAAUAAUUUAUAUAUCAGGAAAUUAGAUUUUUUAAACUAUAUCAAUUAUACAUGUAACAAUAAAUAUCUUAUAAUCUAUAAUGAAAAUGCAAUUAAUUAUUAUUUGUGUGCUAUGAAUUUUAAUAUAAGAAUAUGGAUAUAAAAUAAAAAAUUACAAUAUUAUAUUUUAUCACAUAUUUGUAAACUCUGUCAAUUUAAGUUUAUAGAAUAUUCUACGUAAAUUUGUAUUUAUAAUGUUUAUAAAAAACAAAUUUACAAAGUUUAUAAAAAAUCAUUUCAUCAUUUAAGUUACUUAAUAUAUAAAUUUUGAUGUAAUUUACUAUAAUUGUUUUUUUCAAUGGCAAACAAUUAUAUGAUUUUUAAGUUUCUUAAAACACGAGAUUUAUUCCAAAUAAAAAAAUCAUGAGAACAUUUCAUUGAUUCCUUCGAAAAAAAUAUUUCAUACGUCUAAAAUAAGUAAAAAAAAUGCAAGUUAAAAUAUUUGAUUAAUAUAAUUACUAUAUAACUGUCGGUAAAAUAUCUUUGGAACUAUUAAUAUAAAAUGAACUGUGAAUUAAUACUCAACAUAAUUAAAAUUAAAAAUUAAAAUAUUUAAAAAUAAAGAUGGCUUACCAUUUUUUAUAAACUUAAAUAAUUGAUUGACUCAAUUUUGUAAAAACACAUAACCCUGGUUGAAUUAAUUUUUCGUGAACUUGAAAAAAAAAGUAUAAAUUGUGUUUGGACGCUGUUUGUAUCCUAGUAUUCUUUUAUAAGACAAUUAGUUUGAUUUGUAUUAUAUUAGUAAUUUAUUAUAAAUUAUAUAAAUGGUAAAAUCAGAUAUUCUUUUUUAGAGUAAGUAACUCUUCUAUAUUUUAAAGUAAAAUUAAUUUGCAUAACAUAUUAUCACUUACAAUAAAAAAUAUUAUGAUGAAUCCAUUAUUUUUAAUAUGUAUAAACUUAAAAACUGAAAAAGAAAUUAUAUUUAAACCUACACUGUCUAAUACAUAAUCACAAUCACAAUCACUCAUAUUAACAUACUGUUAUAAAAUGUAAUUCACAUUAGCAUAAUAAAUUGUACUAUAUAUAUGAUUACAUUAAAUGCCAUUAAUAUAAAAAAUAAACAUAGGGACAAUUUAUUGUGAAUAAUCAAAAUCUAAAUAAAUUAUACAACUUUUUGGAAGUAUAUUUUUUUACAAUACAUAUAUUUUAUUUUAUAUAAUAUAGCAAUUUAUUGUAUAGUUAUAUUUAUAGAAAUUUAUUUCAAAAUCAGAUAUUUUUACUUUUACAGUAAAUAGCUAUUGUAUAAUUUUUAGAAAAAUAUAUAUUUGGUGAUGAGAUAUAUAUUAAUAGUUAUUAUAAUUUCUUUUCUCUUAAGAUUAGUAAUUUUUUGAUUUUUUUUUAAAUAAGCAGAUUUUUUUCCAAUUCAGAAAGCACUAUAUAUCUUUUAACUUAAAUAUAUUUUAGUUCAGAGUUUAAUUUAAUUUGAUACCUAUUAGUUUUUGCUACAUGCAAAAGAUAAUUAUCUUAAUUUGAACAAAAAAUAAUAAUUAUCUUAGUGCCAAAUGUAUCAAUUUUAUUAAUUAUAACUAAAUAAACUUGAUGAGAUUGAUAUUUUUAUUUCUUUUUCAUCGCCUAUAGUCCUUUCUUAUUUAUGUAGGAACUAGUUGGAUUUUGUAUUCAUUGGGAAAUGCAAAUGGUUAUAUAAACCAUUUAAUAGGCUAGGUAAAAUCUAAUUAUUUUGGUCAUAACAAUUUAGUUGUGUUGCUUGUUACGUCGAAUCCUUGUUCCUUGUGGUUUCCUCGUGAAGAUGUUAGAACCCAAAAUGGAAGAGAUAGAUUGUGAAGACAGGAUCAGUGCUUUGCCCGAAGAGUUGCUUGUGACAAUUUUGUUGCUUGUCCCUAUUAAAGAUGCAGUAGCUACCAUGAUUUUGUCCAAAAGAUGGCGCUGUAUAUGGAUGAUGUUGCCUAGACUUGAUUACAAUGAAACCAAUGAUAUCAAAGAUGAUCAUGAUUGUGGUGGUGGUGAUGAUGAUGAUGAUGAUGAUGAUGGUGAUGGUGAUGGUGAUGGUGAUGGUGAUGAUGGUGAUGGUGAUGGUGAUGGUGAUGGUGAUGGUGAUGGUGAUGGUGAUGGUGAUGAUGAUGAUGAUGAUGAUGAUGAUGAUGAUGAUGAUGAUGAUGAUGAUGAUGAUGAUGAUGAUGAUGAUGAUGAUGAUGAUGAUGAUGAUGAUGAUGAUGGUGAUGAUGAUGAUGAUGAUGAUGAUGAUGGUGAUGGUGGUGAUGAUGAUGCUGAUGGUGAUGAUGAUGAUGAUGAUGAUGAUGAUGAUGAUGAUGAUGAUGAUGAUGAUGAUGAGAGAAAGAAGAGCAUUUGGUGGUUUUUGGACAAGUCACUGAAACUUUACAAAGCACCUGUCUUAGAAAAAUUGCUUAUUAGUCUUGGUCGACGAUGUCCUAGUGAUGCUAAUGUCGGAAAUUGGGUUGAAAAGGCUGUUGAUCGCGGCGUCGUCGUGGUAAAAUUCAAGCUUCGCUGGUCAGCAGGUCCAACCACAUUGCCUAGGAGCCUUUACACCUGCGAAACACUCAAAGAACUGACUCUAUCUAACAAGGUUCUUGUUGAUUUCCCUUCUUCCCCUUCCUGCCUCCCGUCACUCGAACUACUUCAACUUUUCUGUGUGGCAUAUAAAGACGAGGCCUCCCUCGCUAGGUUCUUAUCUAGUUGCCCUGUCCUUGGAAUAUUGAUAGUGAAAAGAAAGAAGAGUGACAAUCUGACGAACUUUAUUGUGAAAGUGUCUUCUUUAUGGAUGUUAUUGUAUCAUAAUACAGCUUGUCUGCAAGAUGACACUGACGUAGUGGAUAGUGAUAGUUGUUUGGUUAUAGAUACUCCGGCAUUAAUAAAGUUUAAGGUCGAUGAUGAUUCAAGAGACUAUUGGUCGAUUGGGAAUAUGCCUUCUCUCGAGGAGGCAUAUAUUAGUGUCAAUUCUUUAUCUAAUUUUGACAAGUUCAUAACAGCUUCUUCGUCGAUCAUGUCUCUUGACUUGACUUUUACCGAUGAAAUGGUAGCUCUCUCUUUAUCUAUGUGUUGACUGUUUGUUGUGAUUACUUUGUUGCAUCUACCCAAGUUGUUGUUUCUUUUGUUGCAGCUUGUGCGUUGUAGCACCCUAAGAUUUUCUCGACUUAUAAAGUUAUCUGUAGAUCCAAGUAGAUCCGACUGGGUGGAACCACUCUUACUUCUACUAGCAAAUACUCCAAAACUUGAAGAACUUUUGGUAAAUUAUGUACGUACUCUCCUUUUCUUCAAGCUUUGAUGGACGUUAUAAUACUAGUAACUUUUUAUAAUAUAUAGUCACCGUUGCUUCUCAUUAGGAAUUUAUCUAUGACCUCGAGGAUAUCCCACUUUCAUGGAAUCAACCAAGUUCUAUUCCUGGAUGCUUGUCGUCACAUCUAAAAAUAUUUGAAUGGAGAUACUAUGGACACAGAGAAGAAGAGGAAGAAUUCUUGACAUACAUCCUAGCCAAUUCUAAUUGUUUAAAGACUGCGACAAUCUCCCUCAAACCCAUGUUAGAUCCUGAACUAGAGCAAGAUGCUAUCAUCGGAAAGUUGAAAGAUAUUCCUAGGGUUUCAACAUCAUCUCAACUUUUGGUCAAUUGAAAAUUUAUUUCGAGUUAUCAUAUUUUUAGCCAUAUAAUGAAGCUCAGUUAAUGUGCACGCUUAUCAAUAAAAUGAACCAGAACUUCUAAAUAUAAUGUGAACAAUUUGCUAUUGCUAUAAUGUAAACAAAUUGUAUGCUUUUAACAACUUGUAAGAUUAUUACAGCAACUGAAAAAAUGGAAAAGUAAAAAAAAUAUAUUUCAAAAAUAAAGUAAUACACAAACCUGUGAGCUUAAAACUCUCCCAGGCACCUCAUUCGAGAAAGGUCUCUAACUUUUAACUUUCCUGCAACUCCCUCCUUUUAUCCGACAGUUAUUUCCUUGCUGGGAUAAAACCACUGCAAUAUUCCUAGAAUUUUCAAAUUCUUUUCCUUUUUGGGGAGUGUCUACUGGAUAAUACCCACCUCUGCCACUUUCUCCCCGGGUUCUUCCCCCGACCCUGGUCGGAGGGACCGCUAGAAGCUCGCCGGAAAAUGCCUGAACUCCUAUCUCCGCCCCACUCCAACUAUGAAGACAAAUCGAAGAGGGGAGUUGAAACCGAUAUCCUUGGAAUCUGUUUCUGAACCUCAGAGUCCAGAAGAAAGCUUUUUGUUUGGAGAUCUAAUCUGAAGUAACUUAAGACCUUGCUGAAACAGGGAAUCCUGUACUGCUUGAUACCAACUACAAACUUAACUUGGAAUCUGAAGUUUAGCACCAGCUAUGGAAAGAAGACUUUCUCGAGAAGCAAAAGGAAAAGGCGUUGCAACGGAACCUGCUCAACCACCACGUACGGGACGCAUAAAAGCUCAAGCCCCCGUCAAUACGGACCGCUCAAACAAACUCUCUCUGACCCUAAUAGGAAGAGUUACAAAUCGCUCAGUACAAAUGGUGUGGUCUCUCAUACCUUUCUUCACUGAGAUGUGGAAAGCUGAAGGAGGCCCAGUCGGAUCUGAAUUGGGAAAUGGAAUGUUCCAAUUCCAAUUUGAAAACGAGUCAAAUUUACUAGCAGUACUCGAAAGAAGGCCCUUCCAUUAUGCUAGAUGGAUGGUCAUUCUUCAAAGAUGGGAACCAACCACCUCAGCCUCCUUCCCAUCGCUCAUUCCUUUCUGGAUAAAGGUUCAAGGAAUCCCCAUCCAUCUAUGGGAGGAAAAUACUAUAAAGAGUCUGGCUGAAGACUUUGGAAUCUUUGAAAAGGCGGAGAUAACCGACUUUGCAGUGAGAAUGCGCGUUCAGGUCAAUGGCCUAUUACCCAUAGUCAAGUCCUCGGUCAUCGAGUACCCCAAUGGGGACGAAGUAACAUCAACUUUUGUCUACGAAAAGCUCGAAAAGCAUUGCUCUAAGUGCUCCCGCUUGGACCACGACUUUAAAGAUUGCCUUGUGGCAAAACACCAGGCCCGAGAACACCAUCUACAAGAGCAAUCAACAAAAAAACUCUGUUAUGGAAGAUGACAGGAAGGAAGAGAGAAGCAGACAACCAGGGAACUUAGAUAUCUACCGAUUUACUGCUACUAAGGAGGGUGAAGAUGAUCGACGCACCCACAACUCGGCGUCUUAUGGGCAUCAGCGACUCCUUACUAAACGGGCAAAUGAUAAUCGUCAUGUUUAUCGCCAGGAUCAGGAAAUAAGCUCUAGAAGGGCUUACAAAGAACCACCUAGGGACUGGCAGACUCGACACAACCGCUCCUCAAACCUAAGAUAUGCGGAUUCACAUCACAAUAAUCUAACAAGAGAAGAUACGCGGUACCGACUGUCCUCAAGAAACCGCACUGGACAGCUUAUGAAGUCAAGGGAUAAAAGACAAGAACACAGAGAUGAAUCUAGCGCUUCAAAAGCAGGGUUGGAGCAUUUUGAUCGGGGGAAUCCUCAAAAAGACAUGACAGAACUGAAAGACCUGUGACUCCCACGCCCCAUAAAUCCUUUGAUGAAGCUCUAGAUGAAGUAAGGGAUGUCAUGAUUCAAUACACCCAUUGUGCGGACCCAACCGAGAGAGCAGCCCGGCAAGAGAGGCUGCGAAAGGCUGAAGAAGAAGGCCAACUCGAAGAAGCAGCAGCGGGAAUGGUUCGAGAUACACGGGGUGAAAGAGACAGGAUAAUGCCCACGCCUGUUUUCGAAUCUGAGGAGAGAGCCCCCACAAAUCAAUGGAAAUCACCUCUUCUAACACUUGAGGAUAAUUCAGCUGAGAGAAUUCCAGCGACACAGAGACUAGGAACUCAACCUGAAACUGCAAUGCAGUCUAUUGAGAGACUUCCAGCUUCUCUGAGAAUUGGACCUCCCGAAGCUCCUGAAGUCCAUGUGCCCAUUGCACAAAGUAUUGUCUCACCAAUACAGAAGCGAAAACCAGGAUGCCCCCGGGAAAAAGAACGGUCCACUCAAGCCCACGGCUACUCAAAGGCUCCACUUCCCGAAAGCGGAAAUCUCAAAAUACAAAACCAGCCCCAGUUUGUAGGACCUUAAUCACUGAAUCUCCAAAAGGAAGAUCAAAGCCUCUAUCAGGAACAUCUCGUGCUUCACGGACUAUCUCCAAGAAGGCCAAUACUCCCACGAACUCCGACAACCAACCUAUUUGCAACAUGAUACCGGCCUCUUCAAAGAGAAAGGUGGAUUUUCACAAUCCAUCCAUUCUCGGUCCUUAAAAAUAGCGAGCUGGAACUGUCAGGGGUUAGGGAAUCCCCGGACAGUUCGUCGUUUAAGGGAGAUGAAGAAGAGCAUCUUCCCAGAUAUCUUGUUCCUUAUGGAAACAAAAAAUCCCGACGAUUUCGUUAUCUCGAAGAUGGCAACUCUUCAAUACGAGAACAUCCAUCUAGUGCCCCCGAUAGGACACGGGGCAGGAGGGCUAGCGUUGCUCUGGAAGCAAGAGAUUAAACUUCAAAUCCUAAGUGCAAAUGCAAAUUGUAUUGAUACUUCCAUUGCAUAUGAAGGAAAGCUUUUUUAUGCCUCUUUUAUUUAUGGAGAUACCGAUCGAAACAAAAGAAGAAGUUUGUGGGAAAACCUCCUGCAAACAAACCUGGCGCGAGAAGCCCCUUGGUUUUUGACCGGGGAUUUCAAUGACAUACUAAACAGCGAAGAAAAGAGUGGAGGGGUCAUACGACCAGAGGG